UACCUGGUUGAUCCUGCCAGUAGUCAUAUGCUUGUCUCAAAGAUUAAGCCAUGCAAGUCUAAGUACGAGCUCUCGUACAGUGAAACUGCGAAUGGCUCAUUAAAUCAGUUAUGGUUCAUUUGAUCGUACAGUUUACUUGGAUAACUGUGGUAAUUCUAGAGCUAAUACAUGCGAGAAGCGCCGACCUCGCGGGAGGCGUGCAUUUAUCAGACCAAAAACCGGCCGCGUCUUCGGGCGCGUUCGCCUUGGUGACUCUGGAUAACUUUGCGGAUCGCACGGUCUAGCACCGGCGACGGAUCAUUCAAGUGUCUGCCCUAUCA
rnacentral:ncRNA from 1 species